GAUGAACGCUGGCGGCGUGCCUAAUACAUGCAAGUCGAGCGAACAGACGAGGAGCUUGCUCCUCUGACGUUAGCGGCGGACGGGUGAGUAACACGUGGAUAACCUACCUAUAAGACUGGGAUAACUUCGGGAAACCGGAGCUAAUACCGGAUAAUAUAUUGAACCGCAUGGUUCAAUAGUGAAAGACGGUUUUGCUGUCACCUAUAGAUGGAUCCACGCCGCAUUAGCUAGUUGGUAAGGUAACGGCUUACCAAGGCAACGAUGCGUAGCCGACCUGAGAGGGUGAUCGGCCACACUGGAACUGAGACACGGUCCAGACUCCUACGGGAGGCAGCAGUAGGGAAUCUUCCGCAAUGGGCGAAAGCCUGACGGAGCAACGCCGCGUGAGUGAUGAAGGUCUUCGGAUCGUAAAACUCUGUUAUUAGGGAAGAACAAAUGUGUAAGUAACUAUGCACGUCUUGACGGUACCUAAUCAGAAAGCCACGGCUAACUACGUG
rnacentral:rRNA from 1 species